GGCGCGCUGGCAGAAUGGUUGUGCAGCGGAUUGCAAAUCCGUUUUAUUUCGGUUCAAUUCCGAAGCGCGCCU
rnacentral:tRNA from 1 species